rnacentral:ncRNA from 1 species
UACCUGGUUGAUUCUGCCAGUAGUCAUAUGCUUGUCUCAAAGAUUAAGCCAUGCAUGUCUAAGUAUAAGCAAUUAUACCGCGAAACUGCGAAUGGCUCAUUAUAUAAGUUAUCGUUUAUUUGAUAGUACCUUACUACUUGGAUAACCGUGGUAAUUCUAGAGCUAAUACAUGCUAAAAAUCCCGACUUCGGAAGGGAUGUAUUUAUUAGAUUAAAAACCAAUGCCCUUCGGGGCUCACUGGUGAUUCAUGAUAACUCCUCGAAUCGCAUGGCCUUGUGCCGGCGAUGGUUCAUUCAAAUUUCUUCCCUAUCAACUUUCCG